rnacentral:rRNA from 1 species
UACAGAGGGGGCAAGCGUUAUUCGGAAUUAUUGGGCGUAAAGGGCGCGUAGGCGGCCUUGCAAGUGGCGGGUGAAAUCCCUCGGCUUAACCGAGGAACUGCCUGCCAGACUGCAAGGCUCGAGACCGGGAGAGGUGAGUGGAAUUCCCAGUGUAGCGGUGAAAUGCGCAGAUAUCAGGAGGAACACCGGUGGCGAAGGCGGGUCUCUGGGCCGAUACUGACGCUGAGGAGCGAAAGCGUGGGGAGCGAACAGG